GGGGAAUUUUGGACAAUGGGCGCAAGCCUGAUCCAGCAAUGCCGCGUGCAGGAUGAAGGCCUUCGGGUUGUAAACUGCUUUUGUACGGAACGAAACGGUUCUCUCUAAUACAGGGGGCUAAUGACGGUACCGUAAGAAUAAGCACCGGCUAACUACGUGCCAGCAGCCGCGGUAAUACGUAGGGUGCGAGCGUUAAUCGGAAUUACUGGGCGUAAAGCGUGCGCAGGCGGUGAUGUAAGACAGAUGUGAAAUCCCCGGGCUCAACCUGGGACCUGCAUUUGUGACUGCAUCGCUGGAGUGCGGCAGAGGGGGAUGGAAUUCCGCGUGUAGCAGUGAAAUGCGUAGAUAUGCGGAGGAACACCGAUGGCGAAGGCAAUCCCCUGGGCCUGCACUGACGCUCAUGCACGAAAGCGUGGGGAGCAAACA
rnacentral:rRNA from 1 species